UUACGGCCAAAUCACUUUGAGACACAGGUUCUCAUACGAUCACCGAAGUUAAGCAAAGGUGAACUGGAUCAGUAGCUAGAUGGGUGAUAGCUUGGGAAUACCAAGUGUUGUAAG